ensembl:lncRNA
GUGAGGAACAUAUGUAUAAUGCUUACCGUUUAUUAAAGAAAAGUAUCCUAAAUUGACUUCAAAUUCGGUGGCGGCGGUUUCUCGCUUCUUCACUUGUAUUUAGAAAUACUCGAAGGCGGGUAUUUCGAAGUCACAAAGGAAUGACGUCACAAGAAGGUGAUUGGUCACUUGCAAUGUUGAACCUGGAACAACAUUAAUUAUGAUGAUGUGGGAACAACGCUGACACGAGGAAAUCAGAUCGUCCAAUUGUUCGAGCCGUGUUUCCGAAGUAACAAAGAGGCGACGGAUGGCCUGGAUUGCAGCCAUUCAAAGACCAAAUAUAACGUCCCAGAACACUCCAGCUCACAGGUUAGUCUGCUCCAAGCAUUCCCACACAGGUCAGUCUGCUGUUGUAGUUAAUGCGUCAAUUUUCUUAACAUAAUUGGUGAUAUAGGUUACAAGCAAGUCUGGCGCUGAACAGAAAUUGUCGCUCCUUUGUUUAUUGUGCAUAAAUAGUGAAUUGUCCUGACACAAUAUUGCGUUUCGCUUCUGUUAUUAUGGUACAUUGACAAAAACAUAUACUUUUAUUCACAGGAUAAAACAGUUGUUUUGUAUCACUAAUUGCCCAGUACGAUUACAGCAUACAGUAUUAUUGUCACUGCUACAUUUCUGUGAUGCUACCAGAAAUUAUUUCCACUACUAAUUAAUUACCGUUGAGCUCAAAGGUCCUAUUAAUAAACGGUUAACGAAUCUGUAUUUAUGACGACGAUUUGUGAGACCGGUAAACUUACCUUUGUUCGUACGAUGGUCUUUCGUUCUUUUUUUUUUUUUUUUUUUUUUUUUUUUUUUUUUGCCUGUCCCGUUUGGCUCUUUUGCAUCAGAAUUGUUGUCUAAAGGCAAAGAAAGAUGCCCAACGGAUUUACUUUACCAAACUGACCAUCCCAGCCUUGCCGUAAUGGUCCAUUUGAUUCACCUUUUAUUGUUUAUUUUAUUUUCACUUACUGAAUACGGGACAGACUUGACUGGAGGAAAGAAGGGGAGAAAGAAAGAGGGAAAGAGAAACAGCUGAGAAGAGGGACGGGGGAGAAGGGCAAAAGACAAAAACCAACAGAACGGGCAGAGAAAAAAAAAAUGCAUAUAUCAAUCACCUGGAUCACCUGCUGAGAAAGAAAAAAGAAAGCAAGCAGAAGAGAACAAGAGUAAUAGAAUAAACAACAUCACAAUGAUAUAUGGGAAUAUGACAGUAAAUACUAAAUGUUAAACAUUAUUGUGCAGCACAUAAGAUCAACAGAACACAGUGUGCUUUGAGGUAGGAGCCAAAAAGGGUGUAGUUUGUGUGUGUGAGCACCCGUGUGUACACCUGUGAGCAUGGACGCACUUGUUUUUUAGUCCCAGAUGAGGGCUCACUCAGCAGCCGCGGAGCAGAAGCCAGGGGGAGUUGCAGUGACGCGCCCGUGAGCUCCGCCGGCAGCCAGCCGUGCCUGAGUGACCGAGCCCCAGGCCGAGAGGCCGGGGGCACCCCACCUCCGAAGUGGCCCGAGCGAGCCCCAGGCUCCAGGCCCCGAUAAGCGGCCGCCAAGGAGUGAGCCGGUGUGUACCUGGACGCCCAUCCCCGGA